GAUGAACGCUGGCGGCGUGCUUAACACAUGCAAGUCGAACGGCAAGACCCUGCUUUUGUGGGGUGCUCGAGUGCGGAACGGGUGAGUGACACGUGCGUAACCUGCCCUUGCCUUUCGGAUAACUUCAAGACACUGGGGCUCAUACCGGAUCGGAGCUCCUGCUGUUUGGUGGGGGUUGGAAAGUCUCGGCGGUUGGGGAUGGACUCGCGGCUUAUCAGCUUGUUGGUGGGGUAGUGGCUUACCACGGCCUUGACGGGUAGCCGGCCUGAGAGGGGAACCGGCAACAUUGGCACUGAGAUACGGCCCAGAGUCGUAAGGGAGGCAGCAGUAGGGAAGUAUGCACAAAGGGCGGAAGUCGGAUGCAGCAACGCGGCGUGCGGGAUUAUGGCCUGCGGGUUUGAAACCGCUUUGGCCUGUGAGGGAGCGUUUGUGAAGGUAAUGGAUAAAGAAGCACCGGCUAACUACGUG
rnacentral:rRNA from 1 species